AGAAAAAUAUGGUGGAGUUGUGUAUUUCUAUAAUGCAAGUGGAGUUAUCAUUCUGUUGCCAAGAAAACACAACCAAUACAAGUCCGGGAGAGCCGUGUAUUGUGGUGAAAAGAAAGAUUGGUAUUAUCCAACUUCUCAUGAGAAUAAAACUAUUAAUGAAAUAGAUUUUGUCGAGGCCAAAGUUCGAGUGAAAAUGUGGAAACAAAAAGAUAUGCCCCCACGAUAUGACUCUGGGUUCGAUACACGAUGACCUCAAGGAACUUUAGUAAAGGAGCAAUAGUGACGUACUUAGAAGUGCCAGUCAAGAUGACGUCACAUCCAUAUAUUGUAGUAAUACAAGCUGAACCA